rnacentral:rRNA from 1 species
ACUGCUCAGUAACACGUAGCUAACCUACCCUUAAGUCAGGGAUAACCUCGGGAAACUGAGGGUAAUACUUGAUAGGAGUGAAACCCUGGAAUGAUUUCAUUCCCAAACUCGUGCUUAAGGAUGGGGCUGCGGUGGAUUAGGUUGUUGGCGGGGUAAUAGCCCACCAAGCCGAUGAUCCAUAAGGGCUCUUAGCGGAGAGGCCCUGAGAGGGAAUCUGAGACACUACUCCCAGCCCUACGGGGUGCAGCAGUUAGGAAUAUUCUGCAAUGCGCGCAAGCGUGACAGAUUGAACCAGAGUGUUUUUCAAAUGAAAAGCUUUUGCCAAGUGUAAAAAGCUUGGCGAAUAAGGACUGGGUAAGACGAGUGCCAGCCGCCGCGGUAAUACUCGCGGUCCAAGUCGCAGCCAUUUUUAUUGGGUCUAAAACAUCCGUAGCUUGCUUGGUAAGUUUCUUGUGAAAUUUUAUAUCUCAAAUAUAGAGCGUGCAAGAAGUACUGUCAAGCUAGAGACUGGAAGACGUAAGAAGUAUGUUUGGAGUAGCGGUAAAAUGUGUUAAUCCCAGACAGACUAACAACAGCGAAGGCAUCUUACGAGGACAGUUCUGACAGUAAGGGAUGAAAGCUAGGGGCGCAAAACGGAUUAGAUACCCGUGUAGUCCUAGCAGUAAACACUGCACACUAAACAUCGGUACCUCCUCGAGAGGUGUCGGUGCUGCAGGGAAGCCGAAGAGUGUGCUACCUGGGAAGUAUAGUCGCAAGGCCGAAACUUAAAGGAAUUGGCGGGGGAGCAC